UGAACCACAACUGCAAAACGCGUAAGUGAUAGUCGUAACCAGUCGAGCUUAUGCUUUGGAGUAAGCGGAUGCUAGUCUGUACCAUGCGGUUGUAGCCAUCUAAAAACUUGGAAAAUGUAUCGGUUUAGUGUCUUGUUUAGCGUUUUCGUCUGGAUGGACGCGGUGACGGCCGCCGAAGGUGAUGUGUGCUAUAGUAAAGGAGGAAUAGCCGGAAUAGUCAUCGCCACCUUGGUAGUAACAAUUGUCACCACUGCCUUGGCUCUCUUGGCAGUUUGGCAUUUCUACAUCCACGGCAGAGGUAUUUUUACGUCUCUUAAUACUAAUUAAUAUCGAAAAUUCGGC
rnacentral:lncRNA from 1 species